rnacentral:rRNA from 1 species
AGAGUUUGAUCAUGGCUCAGGAUGAACGCUAGCGGCAGGCUUAAUACAUGCAAGUCGAGGGGCAGCAUGGGUGUAGCAAUACAUCUGAUGGCGACCGGCAAACGGGUGCGGAACACGUACAGAACCUUCCUUCGAGCGGGGAAUAGCCCAGAGAAAUUUGGAUUAAUACCCCAUAGUAUUACGGAGUGGCAUCACUUUGUAAUUAAAGAUUUAUCACUUGAAGAUGGCUGUGCGGCUGAUUAGGUAGUUGGCGGGGUAACGGCCCACCAAGCCUACGAUCAGUAACUGGUGUGAGAGCACGACCAGUCACACGGGCACUGAGACACGGGCCCGACUCCUACGGGAGGCAGCAGUAAGGAAUAUUGGUCAAUGGACGCAAGUCUGAACCAGCCAUGCCGCGUGGAGGAUGAAGGUCCUCUGGAUUGUAAACUUCUUUUAUAUGGGACGAAAAAGGGCCUUUCCAGGUCAACUGACGGUACCAUAUGAAUAAGCACCGGCUAACUCCGUGCCAGCAGCCGCGGUAAUACGGAGGGUGCAAGCGUUAUCCGGAUUCACUGGGUUUAAAGGGUGCGUAGGUGGGUUGGUAAGUCAGUGGUGAAAUCUCCGAGCUUAACUUGGAAACUGCCAUUGAUACUAUCAGUCUUGAAUAUUGUGGAGGUCAGCGGAAUAUGUCAUGUAGCGGUGAAAUGCUUAGAUAUGACAUAGAACACCAAUUGCGAAGGCAGCUGGCUACACAUAUAUUGACACUGAGGCACGAAAGCGUGGGGAUCAAACAGGAUUAGAUACCCUGGUAGUCCACGCCCUAAACUAU